UACGAAGGGGGCUAGCGUUUGUUCGGAAUUACUGGGCGUAAAGGGCGCGUAGGCGGCGUGUCAAGUCAGGCGUGAAAGCCCCGGGCUCAACCUGGGAACCGCGCUUGAGACUGGCAUGCUCGAGUUCGGGAGAGGAUGGUGGAAUUCCCAGUGUAGAGGUGAAAUUCGUAGAUAUUGGGGAAGAACACCGAUGGCGAAGGCAGCCAUCUGGACCGACACUGACGCUGAGGCGCGAAAGCGUGGGGAGCAAACAGGG
rnacentral:rRNA from 1 species